AGAGAAGUGCUUUAGCAAUAAAGAACCCGGUGACAGGUGCUGCAUGGCUGUCGUCAGCUCGUGUCGUGAGAUGUUGGGUUAAGUCCCGCAACGAGCGCAACCCUCGCCUUUAGUUGCCAGCAUUCAGUUGGGCACUCUAGAGGGACUGCCGGUGUCAAACCGGAGGAAGGUGGGGAUGACGUCAAGUCCUCAUGGCCUUUAUGUCUAGGGCUACACACGUACUACAAUGGCCGGUACAAAGGGCAGCCACUCAGCGAUGAGGCGCUAAUCCCAUAAAGCCGGUCUCAGUCCGGAUCGCAGUCUGCAACUCGACUGCGUGAAGUUGGAAUCGCUAGUAAUCGUAGAUCAGCAUGCUACGGUGAAUACGUUCCCGGGCCUU
rnacentral:rRNA from 1 species